ensembl:lncRNA
GGGAAAUGUUGAAAUGUUUACAAUUCAACGGACAUGUAUUUCGAAGCGGAUAAACACAAAGUUACGCUCUGACAUGCAGAGGUGAUCUGCCAUCUCUGCCUGCCCCCCACAUCGUGCCAGCUGGUCCAUCCCAAUGGGCAGAGUGGCAGGGGCACCGUGGGACCCUCCUCCCCAGCACAGAGCAGAUUCUUCCUCCCAGCCUCUGAGGAAACCACCCCCACUGACACCUUGACCUUGGACUUCCAGCCUCCAGAACUGUGAGAUAACCAAUUUCUCUUGUUUAUGUCACCCAACUGUAGUACUUUAUAAAGGCAGCCCCAGCAAACAGAGAUGGUGGGGCGCUGUGAGAGAGGACAGACCUCUGCCUCUUGCCACCUGUGUGACUUUUGAGAAGUUACUGACUGUCACCAAGACUAGUUCCUUUUUCUGUGAAAUGGGGUUAACACCAGUGACUGCCUCACGAGGCUGAGUGAGGCCUGGCAUGAAAUGCCCUAGAUCCAGUCCUUGGCACAAAAUGAUCAGAACUAAUCACAGAUGUGCAAAUUGGUUACCACUGGGGAACAUAGGAGGCCCUGAAAUUCGCUUUACGUUGCUUCACAAGUAUGUGUUUUUCCUUCUCUUCAAAAUACUAAACUGUCAGAAUUCCUGUCAUGGCUCAGUGGUUAAUGAAUCCAACCAGGAACCAGGUUGAGGGUUCAAUCUCUGGCCUCGCUCAGGGGGUUAAGGAUCUGGUGUUGCUGUGGCUGUGGUGUAGGCUGGCAGCUGUAGCUCCUAUUGGACUUCUAGCCUGGGAACCUCCAUAUGCCGUGGGAGUGGCCCUAGAAAAGACAAAAAUAAAAAAUAAAAAAAAGUGAAAAAACCCAAAAUUGAACUAAACUCUCUCUGGCAGAGUGGCCCUAGAAAUACUGAAUCCCCAGUGGCAUCAGGGCAGUUGUCUCACUUAUAUAAAUGCUCAACAGAUAUUUCUACUCAGAUGUGUUCUGUGUUAGGAUUGUAUCAGAGUAAAUUCUAAAGUAAAGACCUUAGAGUUCCGGUCAUGGCUCAGUGGUAACGAAUCUGACUAGGAUCCAUGAGGACACAGGUUCGAUCCCUGGCCUUACUCAGUGAGUUAAGGAUCCAGCAUUGCCGUGAGCUGUGGUGUAGGUUGCAGACGUGGCUCGGAUCUGAUGUUACUGUGGCUGUGGCGUAGGCCGGCAGCUGUAGCUCCAAUUGGACCCCCAGCCUGUAAUGCUGUGGGCAUUGCCCUAAGAAGACAAAAAGAAACAAAGUAAGAUCUUGACAUCUUUGCAUCCCCAGUCCCGGAUGCCACACCUAAGAAAUGCACUGAACAUUGAUUGAUUCCUAUUGAAUGAAUGAGUGACCUUUACAGGGGACGUGGACUGGCCUGUAGGAUAGUUGAAUCUGUGGUAGGUAAGGUAUGAUGUUUCUAUCUGGAAAUAAUUUUAGCCAAUAUCUGCUACCAUCUUGACACCGUAGUAGACUAGAGUAACACAAAAUAAUAAGCUAGGGAUUGUUGAACGUUUCCCAUGUCAGGUCCUGGGCUUCAUGGGGUUUCUCCCUUGCCUUCCUCAUGAUAGCCUUAUGGAGUAACUAUCUCCAUUUUGCCAGCAUGAAAACUGAGGCUGAGAGUCUCCCAACAGUCAGGAAGGGAGAGUCAGGAUUUAACCUCCGGCAGUCUGAUCCCAAGGUCCACACCCCUCCCCGUUGUGGCUCACUCCCUUCCUCUUGCUCUGGAAGCAGAACCCUGUCAAGGCUCUUAGAGUCUAGAUCUAGAGACACUGAGAGGCCAGGCAGAGACGAAAAGUAGCUAAUCCAAUACCCUCUAAGAAAGUGAACCUGAGACCCAGGGAAGGCAUGUGACUAGCCUUGCAAUGAGAAAGCGACCCAACUGGGACAUGCACCCAGGUCUCCUCCCCCUCCCCCAAGACUGAUGUGACCAGGCGGGAGUGGGGGGCUUGGGCCCCAAUGGGUCGUUCAGCCAGAUCCCUGGCCCUCCAUCCUGCAGAUGGGCGGGAAAGUCAGGGAGGUGUGGAACGCCGGCUUCUGUCCCAGGAGAAGCCUUGGGCUGGGCAGGCAUCCUCCUGAAGGGCCCUGUGCAUCUGUCUUGCCCUCCUCGUGACUCCAGUCCCUCUGUGCCCACCUCCUCUGAGUUUUGGGUCAGCCUGAGACCUGUGUAAGUAGAAUCCCAGGUGCACAGGGCCCAAACUUUAUUCCGAGAGGUUAGCUGCCUGUUAUAACUCAGGACUCAGAUGGCACAGUCCCUGGGCUCUAGGGAUGCAGAGAACUGCAGGGCAUCCAGCCCUGCUCCUGAAGGAGACAAAAUGAUCCUUAUCACGCCAGUUCCAGCCAGAGGAGGCUGAGCCAGUUCCACAGAAGUCCAGAUGGCGCCUGUCGCAGCCGGGAAGGGACACGGAGGAGCCUUCCUCACAUUUCACACUGUGGUGUGUGUUCCUCUUGCCCCCAGCCUUUCGCUGCCGGCCUUGACUUUCUGCCGCGGUCCCAAAGCUGUAGCUCUGGGUCAGGGGCUGGAGCUGAGGCUGGAGGGGUCAGGGCAUCAAAACCUGGAACUUGACUCCCCUGAAAAACACCCUUAGAUGGUCCUUCCAAAGACCUGGGGUCCUUACAGAACUCUCUAGAAACAGCAGUGGUCUCCUUGGGGCCCAGACAGUCCCUGAGCUUUCAGAUAGCUGCCAGCACAUGGACCUAAUGCUCAGGGAAGCAUUUUGCUAGAGCAGCUGUUAGGCAUGAGCUUCUGUGGGUCACUGCAAAUCACCCAGUUACUUUCCACUUACUUGAGAGGCGGUGCAUCUCUGGCUGGUGGAUUUGGUUCUCUGCCUUCAACUAGAGUAAGAAAACAUUAGCCCUGACGUGGAUCUGGGGUGCAAAAGAUUGGGUUGUUGACACACUUUCUUGCUGGGUUGUAUCAUAUUUGGGCCUUCUUCACACAAAGUGCAUUUGCAGAGAGAAGUCAAAUGCUUAGACGUUAAUAAUAAAAAUGCUUAUCAACUGGUACUCUAGCUCAGCCUUAUUAUAAGAGGAAACUAAGGCCCAGAGAGAGAGAGAGUGAUUUGUCUAAAAUCACACAGCUAGGAGUUCCCAUUGUGGCUCAGUGGGUUAUAAACCCAACUAUUAUCCAUGAAGGUGUGGGUUUGAUCCCUGGCCUUGUUCAGUAGGUUAAGGAUCUGGCAUUGCCAUGAGCUGUUGUGUAGGUCACAUAUGUGGCUCAGAUCUGGCAUUGCUGUGGCUGUGGUGUAAGGCAGCAGCUCCAGCUCCAAUUUGACCCCUAGCCUAGGAUCUUCCAUAUGCCACAUAUGCAGCCCAAAAAACCCAAAAAAAAAAAAAAAA